rnacentral:tRNA from 1 species
AGGGCUUUAGCUUAAUUAAAGUGUCUGAUUUGCAGUCAGAAGAUGUGGGUUAGUAUCUUGCAAGCCCUA